rnacentral:piRNA from 1 species
UGCUAUGGACAUAUAUAAGAUUCACU